rnacentral:rRNA from 1 species
GACGAACGCUGGCGGCGUGCCUAAUACAUGCAAGUCGAUCGAGCGGCGGACGGGUGAGUAAUGUAUGGGGAUCUGCUCGAUAGGGGGGGAUAACUCCUGGAAACGGUGGCUAAUACCGCAUACUCACGGCUUGACCCAUAUGGGAUUAGCUAGUAGGGGGGGUAAAGGCUCACCUAGGCGACGACCUCUACCUGGUCUGAGAGGAUGACCAGCCAAACUGGGACUGAGACACGGCCCAGACUCCUACGGGAGGCAGCAGUGGGGAAUAUUGCACAAUGGGCGCAAGCCUGAUGCAGCCAGGCCGCGUGUAUGAAGAAGGUCUUAGGGUUGUAAAGUACUUUCAGCGGGGAGGCGUUACCCGCAGAAGAAGCACCGGCUAACUCCGUGCCAGCAGCCGCGGUAAUAC